GACGAACGCUGGCGGCGUGCUUAACACAUGCAAGUCGAACGGUAAGGCUCCAGCUUGCUGGGGUACACGAGUGGCGAACGGGUGAGUAACACGUGGGUGACCUGCCCUGCACUUCGGGAUAAGCCUGGGAAACUGGGUCUAAUACCGGAUAGGACCGCACCGUGAGGGUGUGGUGGAAAGUUUUUUCGGUGUGGGAUGGGCCCGCGGCCUAUCAGCUUGUUGGUGGGGUAAUGGCCUACCAAGGCGGCGACGGGUAGCCGGCCUGAGAGGGUGGGCGGCCACAUUGGGACUGAGACACGGCCCAGACUCCUACGGGAGGCAGCAGUGGGGAAUAUUGCACAAUGGGCGGAAGCCUGAUGCAGCGACGCCGCGUGGGGGAUGACGGCCUUCGGGUUGUAAACUCCUUUCACCAUCGACGAAGGGUUUCUGACGGUAGAUGGAGAAGAAGCACCGGCUAACUACGUGCCAGCAGCCGCGGUAAUACGUAGGGUGCGAGCGUUGUCCGGAAUUACUGGGCGUAAAGAGCUCGUAGGUGGUUUGUCGCGUCGUCUGUGAAAUUCCGGGGCUUAACUCCGGGCGUGCAGGCGAUACGGGCAUAACUUGAGUACUGUAGGGGAGACUGGAAUUCCUGGUGUAGCGGUGAAAUGCGCAGAUAUCAGGAGGAACACCGGUGGCGAAGGCGGGUCUCUGGGCAGUAACUGACGCUGAGGAGCGAAAUCAUGGGGAGCGAACAGGAUUAGAUACCCUGGUAGUCCAUGCCGUAAACGGUGGGCGCUAGGUGUGGGUUUCCUUCCACGGGAUCCGUGCCGUAGCUAACGCAUUAAGCGCCCCGCCUGGGGAGUACGGCCGCAAGGCUAAAACUCAAAGGAAUUGACGGGGGCCCGCACAAGCGGCGGAGCAUGUGGAUUAAUUCGAUGCAACGCGAAGAACCUUACCUGGGCUUGACAUAUACAGGAUCGCGCCAGAGAUGGUGUUUCCCUUGUGGCUUGUAUACAGGUGGUGCAUGGUUGUCGUCAGCUCGUGUCGUGAGAUGUUGGGUUAAGUCCCGCAACGAGCGCAACCCUUGUCUUAUGUUGCCAGCACGUUGUGGUGGGGACUCGUAAGAAACUGCCGGGGUUAACUCGGAGGAAGGUGGGGAUGACGUCAAAUCAUCAUGCCCCUUAUGCCCAGGGCUUCACACAUGCUACAAUGGUCGGUACAGUGGGUUGCCAGUCCGUGAGGGCGAGCUAAUCCCGCAAAGCCGGUCUCAGUUCGGAUCGGGGUCUGCAACUCGACCCCGUGAAGUCGGAGUCGCUAGUAAUCGCAGAUCAGCAACGCUGCGGUGAAUACGUUCCCGGGCCU
rnacentral:rRNA from 1 species